rnacentral:rRNA from 1 species
CGUAGCCUACGGGGGGCAGCAGUGAGGAAUAUUGGUCAAUGGGCGAGAGCCUGAACCAGCCAAGUCGCGUGAGGGAGUACUGCCCUAUGGGUUGUAAACCUCUUUUGUCGGGGAGCAAAAGCCGGACGUGUCCGGCUGUGAGAGUACCCGAAGAAAAAGCAUCGGCUAACUCCGUGCCAGCAGCCGCGGUAAUACGUAGGGGGCAAGCGUUAUCCGGAUUUACUGGGUGUAAAGGGAGCGCAGGCGGCGUUGCAAGU